rnacentral:rRNA from 1 species
UACGUAGGGUGCAAGCGUUAAUCGGAAUUACUGGGCGUAAAGCGUGCGCAGGCGGUUCGUUGUGUCUGAUGUGAAAGCCCCGGGCUCAACCUGGGAAUGGCAUUGGAAACUGGCGAGCUGGAGUGUGGCAGAGGGGGGUGGAAUUCCGCGUGUAGCAGUGAAAUGCGUAGAGAUGUGGAGGAACACCAGUGGCGAAGGCGACUUUCUGGCCUAUAACUGACGCUGAGGCGCGAAAGCGUGGGGAGCAAACAGG